UUCCCCUUCGGGGGACAAAGUGACAGGUGGUGCAUGGUUGUCGUCAGCUCGUGUCGUGAGAUGUUGGGUUAAGUCCCGCAACGGUCGCAAUCCUUAAGCUUAGUUGCCAUCAUUAAGUUGGGCACUCUAAGUUGACUGCCGGUGACAAACCGGAGGAAGGUGGGGAUGACGUCAAAUCAUCAUGCCCCUUAUGAUUUGGGCUACACACGUGCUACAAUGGACAAUACAAAGGGCAGCGAAACCGGGAGGUCAAGCAAAUCCCAUAAAGUUGUUCUCAGUGCGGAUUGUAGUCUGCAACUCGACUACAUGAAGCUGGAAUCGCUAGUAAUCGUAGAUCAGCAUGCUACGGUGAAUACGUUCCCGGGUCUUGUACACACCG
rnacentral:rRNA from 1 species